rnacentral:RNase_P_RNA from 1 species
UAAGUAGAAUAAAUGAUCGCGGCUGCAGAGACGAAAGGCUGCAGGUGAGGAAAGUCCGGGCUUCACAGGGCAGGAUGCCGGAUAACGUCCGGUGGAGGUGACUCCAAGGAAAGUGCAACAGAAAUAAACUACUCCGGAAACGGAGAAAAGGUGGAAAGGCAGUGUAAGAGACUACCGCCCUUCUGGUAACAGAGGGGGCACAUGUAAACCCCAUCCGAAGCAAGACCGAAACAAAGCGUUGACGUGGCCCGCCAGCUUUAGGUAGGUUGCUUGAUGUGGCUGGCAACAGUCAUACUAGAUAGAUGAUCAUUCACGACAUAACCCGGCUUAUCGUUCUGCUUAUUCU